UGACUAUAAGUUCAACGGCCGCGGUAUUUUGACCGUGCAAAGGUAGCGCAAUCACUUGUCUUUUAAAUAGAGACCUGUAUGAAUGGCCAAACGAGGGCUUAACUGUCUCCCUUUUCAAGUCAGUGAAAUUGAUCUACCCGUGCAGAAGCGGGUAUAAUAAUACAAGACGAGAAGACCCUAUGGAGCUUAAGGUACAAAACUCAACCACGUCAAGCAACUCAAUGAAAAGCAAAAACUUUGUGAAACAUGAGAUUUUACCUUCGGUUGGGGCGACCACGGAGGAAAAGAAAGCCUCCAAGUGGAGUGGAGCAAACUCCUAAAACCAAGAGAGACAUCUCUAAGCCACAGAACAUCUGACCAAACAUGAUCCGGCCCAAAAAAGCCGAUCAACGAACCAAGUUACCCUAGGGAUAACAGCGCAAUCCCCUCCCAGAGUCCAUAUCGACGAGGGGGUUUACGACCUCGAUGUUGGAUCAGGACAUCCUAAUGGUGCAGCCGCUAUUAAGGGUUCGUUUGUUCAACGAUUAAAGUCCU
rnacentral:rRNA from 1 species